rnacentral:miRNA from 1 species
UUUUGCAAUGUAUCACAGCUGG